GACGAACGCUGGCGGCGUGCUUAACACAUGCAAGUCGAACGGAAAGGCCCUGCUUUUGUGGGGUGCUCGAGUGGCGAACGGGUGAGUAACACGUGAGUAACCUGCCCUUAACUGUGGGAUAACUUCAGGAAACUGGGGCUAAUACCGGAUAGGAGCUCCUGCUGCAUGGUGGGGGUUGGAAAGAUUCGGCGGUGGGGGAUGGACUCGAGGCUUAUCAGCUAGUUGGGGGGGUAGUGGCUGACAAAGGCUUUGACGGGUAGCCGGCCUGAGAGGGUGACCGGCCACCAUGCGCCUGCGAUACGGAGCAGACUCGUAUGGGCGGCAGCAGUCGGGAGUCUGACGCAACGGGGGGAAGCCUGAUGUGGCAACGCCGCGUGCGGGAUGCCCGGUUACGGGGUGUAAACAGCUUUGUCAUGUGCUGAACCGUGCGUGACGGUACUGGGUAAAGAAGCACCGGCUAACUACGUG
rnacentral:rRNA from 1 species